UGCGGGGUGGAGCAGCCUGGCAGCUCGUCGGGCUCAUAACCCGAAGGUCGUAGGUUCGAAUCCUACCCCCGCUACCA
rnacentral:tRNA from 1 species